CCUGAACGCUGGCGGCGUGGCUAAGACAUGCAAGUCGCACGGGCCUAGCAAUAGGUCAGUGGCGGACGUGUGAGUAAUUUAUCGCUAAUGUACCCUGGAGCCUGGGAUAGCUGCCCGAAAGGGCAGGUAAUACCAGAUGAAAUAACUUUGUCGCAUGACGAGGUUCUCAAAGCAGCAAUGCACUCUUGGAGCAGGCGAUAUCGUAUCAGCUAGUUGGUAGGGUAACGGCCUACCAAGGCGAUGACGCGUAGCUGGUCUGAGAGGACGACCAGCCACAUCGGGACUGAGACACUGCCCGGACUCCUACGGGGUGGCAG
rnacentral:rRNA from 1 species